rnacentral:rRNA from 1 species
UACGUAGGGGGCAAGCGUUGUCCGGAAUCAUUGGGCGUAAAGCGCGUGUAGGCGGCUUGGUAAGUCCGCUCUGAAAGCCCGGGGCUCAACCCCGGGAGGCGGGUGGAUACUGUCAAGCUCGAGUCCGGAAGAGGCGAGUGGAAUUCCUGGUGUAGCGGUGAAAUGCGCAGAUAUCAGGAGGAACACCAAUGGCGAAGGCAGCUCGCUGGGACGUGACUGACGCUGAGGAGCGAAAGCGUGGGGAGCGAACAGG